GGCAGGGUGACCCUGCAGAUAGGGCACAGGCCUGGGCCUGGGACUCAGGAGACCUGGGUUCCACUCCCAGCCCUGCUA
rnacentral:tRNA from 1 species